ACGUCCACUGCUAAUGGUGAAAAGACAUCAAGUAAUAUUCUUAGCCAAUAUUAAGAUUCUAAGAUAUUUUUAAAAAGAAGUAUGUAAAUAUACUUUCAGAGCAUCGUCUAUAUGAUUGUUCCAUCAAUCUUCAAGAAAAAACUCAACUACCAUUUGGACCAAUCUAUAGCCUAUCACAAAAUGAGUUAGCUGUGCUCAAAGAGUACAUUGAUGAC
rnacentral:lncRNA from 1 species